rnacentral:lncRNA from 1 species
AGAAGGAGGAGCGGUGACUUGGAAUGUUGAGAAAGAUUUGCAGAGCGCGGCUAAUUGAGGCUACAAUGGUUUCGUCGAUCAAUUCCGUUUUAAAUUAUUAUUUAGGUAACCGGUUUCAUAUGUGAGGAGUCGAGAGGUACCGGUUGUGUCAGUACUCCACCUACGUCUAAAUAUAGGGGCAUACUCGUAUUAAUGAAAAAUGCACAGUGCUUUAUCCAUUUACCUAAUUAAAUAAGUUUUCAUAGCUAUCUACCGCAAUUUUC